rnacentral:rRNA from 1 species
CCUACGGGUGGCUGCAGUGAGGAAUAUUGGUCAAUGGCCGGAAGGCUGAACCAGCCAAGCCGCGUGAGGGAGGAAGGCGCAGAGCGUCGCAGACCUCUUUUGCCAGGGGACAAAGGGCCGGACUCGUCCGGUCCUGAGUGUACCCGGAGAAAAAGCAUCGGCUAACUCCGUGCCAGCAGCCGCGGUAAUACGGAGGAUGCGAGCGUUAUCCGGAUUCAUUGGGUUUAAAGGGUGCGCAGGCGGGCCUUUAAGCCGGCGGUGAAAUCGCGGGGCUCAACCCCGCCGCGCCGUCGGAACUGGGGGCCUUGAGUGCGGCGGAGGCAUGCGGAAUGCGCGGUGUAGCGGUGAAAUGCAUAGAUAUCACGCAGAACCCCGAUUGCGAAGGCAGCAUUCCGGCGCCACACUGACGCUGAGGCACGAAAGUGCGGGGAUCGAACAGGAUUAGAUACCCUAGUAGUC